GAAGAAACAUAAGAGCACUGAUAUUUGUGGUGGAAGAAAAGGAUGAUGAUUGUUGUUGUAGGUGAAUGUAGUGUUCCUACCACUUUUGAGAUGAGUAUCUAUCUCAACAGUCAACACUUGAGUAUCUCAAUAAUCUGGAGAUUUCUGAUUCUUUCUCCCUGUUGUUUCAAUUUUCAAGCGCCAUAAGCUAGUCAGCCUAAAUUGGUAACUCGGGGAAUGUGGGAGGAAUGAUGUGGUUACCAAUUUAGGCUGACUAGCUUAUGG
rnacentral:misc_RNA from 1 species